GCAUUUAUGGUUCAGUGAUAGGUUUCUCAUCUUUAAUGCAAGAGACCUGGGUUUGGUUCCCAGUCAAUGCA
rnacentral:tRNA from 1 species